AAAAUCAGCAUCUUGUUUCUUUUAUUUAAUUAGUUAACUCUAUAUACAUUAUGAUAUUAGUUAGUUACACUAGGCAGAAAUCCAACCACCAUUUCCUGGUUGUUAAAACUCGUAAUAGUUUGCCUAAUUUGAGUUUGUGACGAUAUAAGCUAGUAUAGUGUAGCGAGUCAUUGUACUAAAUUUACAUUUGUGUGAAAUAUAUUUUCCAUAAAUAGAAAUACUGUAUUUUCGGCAUUUUUUUUUUUUUAAGCUGGUGUACAAAACCGAAAGUAAAAGAUGCAAAAACAAAAUUAAGGAACGGGAAGCAUAGAAAUAGAUCACACGGAACAGAUCUACCUUUUCUUAGACUUUGAAAUGACAUUGCCACUUUAACUAUCUACCGUAUGCUAUAAUUAGUUAACUAUAGUGUAUAUACAGUAGGAUAUAGUUAGCUGUAGAAUAUACAGUGAUUACAAUUAGUUAACUAUAGUGUAUAUACAGUAGGAUAUAGUUAGCUGUAGAAUAUACAGUGAUUAUAAUUAGUUAACUAUAGUGUAUAUACAGUAGGAUAUAGUUAGCUGUAGAAUAUACAGUGAUUACAAUUAGUUAACUAUAGUGUAUAUACAGUAGGAUAUAGUUAGCUGUAGAAUAUACAGUGAUUACAAUUAGUUAACUAUAGUGUAUAUACAGUAGGAUAUAGUUAGCUGUAGAAUAUACAGUGAUUAUAAUUAGGUAACUAGUAUAUUUUAUGUGUCAAGAACAGCAACGAUGCUGGGUUUUUCCACGUGUGGUAUCCAAGAAUGUUUCACCCAUCCAAAGGACAUCCAACAUUCAACUUGACACAACUAUGGGAAGCAUUGGAAUCAACAUGUGCUGGCAUCCCUGUGGAACGCUUUGGGGACAGGGGGAGUUGCAAAUUAAUUAGGAAGGUGUUCCUAAUGUUUUGUAAACUCAGUGUAUAUACAGUAGGAUAUAAUUAGUUAAAGGGGAAUUUCAACCUGGGGGAAUCUGGGCUUGUUUUCAUCACGUCUGAGGCAUUUCUAAGGACAGUGAGGUGCGUUUCAUACAUAAUUUCCUAGGAGAAAGGCAGGUCUGGGCUUCGGACGCUGAAUAAUACACCCGAUGACGGCUUCCGGUGUAUUGAUGGGGGGGGGGUGAGACACAAAAUAAAUGUAGUCUUGCUUUUGUGGCAUUUUGCGAAAGCUGUAUGUGAUACGGAUCAUACCAUCCGUUUUUUGUGUUUGUCCUUGUUCGAUAGUAACAUCGCUGAAAGACGUCCAAUGGCUCUAUCAGCGGAUUCAUUGCUAAAUAAUACAAAACAUUUUCCAGUCUCUGAAAGACUUUGUGCUCUGGCCCCUUGCUUUUUAAAUUUUUUUUUAUUAAAGGAGGUGAACACUUAACAAUAUAAUCCUUUGGAUAAAACUGAAAGAAUUGACCAGUCAUAUCUUCAAGUGAUUCUCUCAACAACACGAAUUCGACCAUGGAGUAUUUUGUUAUGUUAUGUUCUGCUAAUAACUACACGGUGACUUUUCAACCGGAAUAUAGCGAAGAGGAAGGAAUUGGAAACAAAGAGUUGGAUUUAGUUAACGUUAGAAGCUCAGCUACAACCGAUGCCAGCACCAAGAAGGCAGAUGACAAAUACGGUGCCUAGAUAAACAAUAUCGUGGUGCCUGGGCUUCCUCCUGGAGUGGAUUCUAGAUACAAAAUUCCUGACCUGUCAUUGUAGCAGAACUGUAUUCCGUGAACUGUAUUCCUCUAGCGGGAUUAAAACGUUAUGCCGGAUUUCGAGCAGAUUACUCUCGAGGAGCUGAAUGGCAGUUUGAUCCACAGUUUACACUGAUCAUACUGUGUUGUCUUCCUGUAUGUUUCUUUGGGAAUGGACAUUUCAUCGUGACCACCGGUUUUCUUAAUUACAGAUUGUGACAGUAAAAUAAUGUGAUUUUUAACCAAAGAUUGGUGUAGCACAGAUAAUUUAUUUCACCAGCCUCAGUGAUGCCGUCUUCGUCCUCGACUCAAGGAAACAGGAGUCUCAAGUGUCCCGGUGCAAAGUGUUCAGUUUGAAUUUAGAAAAUGCUCCUCCAUUAUUAAAAUGUUUUAAAAAAUAUAUAUAUUUAUGCAGCGUGAAAUAAUCCAACAGUGUGGGUGCGCGCUGUCAUCUUGUCUAAUUUCAAGUCUUCUCUCACCGAUGAAGACCUACCUCUGGCAUCAUGACACACAGCACUUUGAGGUGGACACACACCUGUCUCCAUCAAUGAGAUAUAAGACUUAAAAUAGACGAGAUGUCUGUGAAAUAUCUUUUGGGUAAAUCACAUUGUUACAGGAGAUAAUCUGUAGCUGUAGUUUUCUGCGCUUGUCUCUCUACACCUGAGAUGCACCUCGGACACACUGAACUGUACUACACUGGUCAUAAAUGUUUUUUUGUUUUGUUUUACCGUAUAACAUUCUUGUUGAAUUUCCCAGUUCUCUUGAGUUAGCAUUUAAAUAGUGUACAAUCCCCUUGUAUUUUAGAUUUGGACAAAUAAACCUUUUGAAUAUC